rnacentral:rRNA from 1 species
UACGAAGGGUGCAAGCGUUAAUCGGAAUUACUGGGCGUAAAGGGUGCGUAGGCGGUUGUUUAAGUCUGUCGUGAAAUCCCCGGGCUCAACCUGGGAAUGGCGAUGGAAACUGGGCAGCUAGAGUGUGUCAGAGGAUGGUGGAAUUCCCGGUGUAGCGGUGAAAUGCGUAGAGAUCGGGAGGAACACCUGUGGCGAAGGCGGCCGACUGGGCCGACCCUGACGCUGAGGCGCGAAGGCGUGGGGAGCGAACGGG